rnacentral:rRNA from 1 species
UACGUAGGGGGCAAGCGUUGUCCGGAUUUAUUGGGCGUAAAGAGCGUGUAGGCGGCCUGAAAGGUCAGCUGUGAAAACUCGAGGCUCAACCUCGAGACGUCGGCGGAAACCAUCUGGCUAGAGUCCGGAAGAGGAGAGUGGAAUUCCUGGUGUAGCGGUGAAAUGCGCAGAUAUCAGGAGAACACCCAUGGCGAAGGCAG